rnacentral:tRNA from 1 species
UCAUCGACUUGCGCAGCGUGGCGGCGCGCUCGUCCUUGGAGAGCGGCUUCGGGACGACGAGGCUGCGCUCGUUCAGGUGGCGGGUGCCGAUGAG